rnacentral:tRNA from 1 species
CAAAUAAGAAGCAAUAAUGCAUCCAGUUUCGACCUGGAAGUAGAUGAAUAUUCAUCCUUAUUU